AGCAGCAGCCGCGGUAAUACGAAGGGUGCAAGCGUUACUCGGAAUUACUGGGCGUAAAGCGUGCGUAGGUGGUGGUUUAAGUCCGUUGUGAAAGCCCUGGGCUCAACCUGGGAAUUGCAGUGGAUACUGGGCCACUAGAGUGUGGUAGAGGAUAGUGGAAUUUCCGGUGUAGCAGUGAAGUGCGUAGAGAUCGGAAGGAACAUCUGUGGCGAAGGCGACUAUCUGGGCCAACACUGACACUGAGGCACGAAAGCGUGGGGAGCAAACAGGAUUAGAUACCCGGGUAGUCCCUGUCUCUUAUAU
rnacentral:rRNA from 1 species